UACCAGCUCUUCGAGUGGUAGGGAUGUUUAUUGGGCCUGAAGCAUCCGUAGCCGGCUGGACAAGUCCUCCGUUAAAUCCAGCGAUUCAAUCGUUGGAUUGCGAGGGAUACUGUUCGGCUAGGGGGUGAGAGAGGCCAACGGUAUUCCCGGGGUAGGGGUGAAAUCCUAUAAUCCCGGGAGGACCACCAGUGGCGAAGGCUGUUGGCUAGAACACGCCCGACGGUGAGGGAUGAAAGCUGGGGGAUCAAACAGG
rnacentral:rRNA from 1 species